rnacentral:rRNA from 1 species
CUCUGGGAUAAGCCUGGGAAACUGGGUCUAAUACCGGAUAGGAGCGUCCACCGCAUGGUGGGUGUUGGAAAGAUUUAUCGGUUUUGGAUGGACUCGCGGCCUAUCAGCUUGUUGGUGAGGUAAUGGCUCACCAAGGCGACGACGGGUAGCCGGCCUGAGAGGGUGACCGGCCACACUGGGACUGAGACACGGCCCAGACUCCUACGGGAGGCAGCAGUGGGGAAUAUUGCACAAUGGGCGCAAGCCUGAUGCAGCGACGCCGCGUGAGGGAUGACGGCCUUCGGGUUGUAAACCUCUUUCAGUAGGGAAGAAGCGAAAGUGACGGUACCUGCAGAAGAAGCACCGGCUAACUACGUGCCAGCAGCCGCGGUAAUACGUAGGGUGCGAGCGUUAUCCGGAAUUAUUGGGCGUAAAGAGCUCGUAGGCGGUUUGUCGCGUCUGUCGUGAAAGUCCGGGGCUUAACCCCGGAUCUGCGGUGGGUACGGGCAGACUAGAGUGCAGUAGGGGAGACUGGAAUUCCUGGUGUAGCGGUGGAAUGCGCAGAUAUCAGGAGGAACACCGAUGGCGAAGGCAGGUCUCUGGGCUGUAACUGACGCUGAGGAGCGAAAGCAUGGGGAGCGAACAGGAUUAGAUACCCUGGUAGUCCAUGCCGUAAACGUUGGGCACUAGGUGUGGGGACCAUUCCACGGUUUCCGCGCCGCAGCUAACGCAUUAAGUGCCCCGCCUGGGGAGUACGGCCGCAAGGCUAAAACUCAAAGGAAUUGACGGGGGCCCGCACAAGCGGCGGAGCAUGCGGAUUAAUUCGAUGCAACGCGAAGAACCUUACCAAGGCUUGACAUGUUCUCGAUCGCCGUAGAGAUACGGUUUCCCCUUUGGGGCGGGUUCACAGGUGGUGCAUGGUUGUCGUCAGCUCGUGUCGUGAGAUGUUGGGUUAAGUCCCGCAACGAGCGCAACCCUCGUUCCAUGUUGCCAGCACGUAAUGGUGGGGACUCAUGGGAGACUGCCGGGGUCAACUCGGAGGAAGGUGAGGACGACGUCAAAUCAUCAUGCCCCUUAUGUCUUGGGCUUCACGCAUGCUACAAUGGCCGGUACAAUGGGUUGCGAUACUGUGAGGUGGAGCUAAUCCCAAAAAGCCGGUCUCAGUUCGGAUUGGGGUCUGCAACUCGACCCCAUGAAGUCGGAGUCGCUAGUAAUCGCAGAUCAGCAACGCUGCGGUGAAUACGUUCCCGGGCCUUGU